rnacentral:rRNA from 1 species
AUUGAACACUGGCGGCAGGCCUAACACAUGCAAGUCGAACGAGUGGCGGACGGGUGCGUAAUGUCUGGGAAACUUCCUGAUGGAGGGGGAUAACUACUGGAAACGGUGGCUAAUACCGCAUACCAUCGGAUGUGCCCAGAUUGGAGUAGCUAGUAGGUGGGGUAACGGCUCACCAGGGCGACGAUCCCUAGCUGGUCUGAGAGGAUGACCAGCCACACUGGAACUGAGACACGGUCCAGACUCCUACGGGAGGCAGCAGUGGGGAAUAUUGCACAAUGGGCGAAAGCCUGAUGCAGCCAUGCCGCGUGUAUGAAGAAGGCCGUCGGGUUGUAAAGUACUUUCAGCGGGGAGGCGUUACCCGCAGAAGAAGCACCGGCUAACUCCGUGCCAGCAGCCGCGGUAAUUC